ACUGGAGGACUGAGGACUGAGUCUGAAGAGUGAGACUUGGAUGACAGAAACCUCCUAAAAAAGAAGGGAUGGAGAGAGCAGUCCUGCUCCCAGAAAAGCACAGGGCUGACUGUGCCAUCCAACAUCA
rfam:Calypte anna contig33290, whole genome shotgun sequence.